UUUGCCUACGGGGCGCAGCAGUGGGGAAUAUUGCACAAUGGGGGAAACCCUGAUGCAGCGACGCCGCGUGAGUGAAGAAGUAUUUCGGUACGUAAAGCUCUAUCAGCAGGGAAGAAAAUGACGGUACCUGACUAAGAAGCCCCGGCUAACUACGUGCCAGCAGCCGCGGUAAUACGUAGGGGGCAAGCGUUAUCCGGAUUUACUGGGUGUAAAGGGAGCGUAGACGGCAGCGCAAGUCUGAAGUGAAAUCCCAUGGCUUAACCCCGGAACUGCUUUGGAAACUGUGCAGCUAGAGUGCGGGAGAG
rnacentral:rRNA from 1 species